UAGGGAAUCUUCCACAAUGGGCGAAAGCCUGAUGGAGCAACGCCGCGUGAGUGAAGAAGGUUUUCGGAUCGUAAAACUCUGUUGUAAGGGAAGAACAAGUACAGUAGUAACUGGCUGUACCUUGACGGUACCUUAUUAGAAAGCCACGGCUAACUACGUGCCAGCAGCCGCGGUAAUACGUAGGUGGCAAGCGUUGUCCGGAAUUAUUGGGCGUAAAGCGCGCGCAGGUGGUUUCUUAAGUCUGAUGUGAAAGCCCACGGCUCAACCGUGGAGGGUCAUUGGAAACUGGGAGACUUGAGUGCAGAAGAGGAAAGUGGAAUUCCAAGUGUAGCGGUGAAAUGCGUAGAGAUUUGGAGGAACACCAGUGGCGAAGGCGACUUUCUGGUCUGUAACUGACACU
rnacentral:rRNA from 1 species